CACGUAGGGGGCAAGCGUUGUCCGGAAUUAUUGGGCGUAAAGAGCUCGUAGGUGGCCUGUCGCGUCGGCUGUGAAAACUCGGGGCUCAACUCCGAGCUUGCAGUCGAUACGGGCAGGCUAGAGUUCGGCAGGGGAGACUGGAAUUCCUGGUGUAGCGGUGAAAUGCGCAGAUAUCAGGAGGAACACCGGUGGCGAAGGCGGGUCUCUGGGCAUUAACUGACGCUGAGGAGCGAAAGCAUGGGGAGCGAACAGG
rnacentral:rRNA from 1 species